AUGAACGCUAGCGGCAGGCUUAAUACAUGCAAGUUGAGGGGCAGCAUGAUAUACGCGAGUAUAUUGAUGGCGACCGGCGGACGGGUGAGUAAUAGGUAGGAGACCUACCUCAUACAGGGGGAUAGCAUAGAGAAAUCUGUGGUAAUACCCCAUGAGGUUAUAUGAAUAGAGGCAUAUAAUCAAAGCAUAAGCGAUUAUGCGGUAUGAGAGGGGCCUACUGACCAUUAGCUAGUUGGUGAGGUAAGGGCUCACCAAGGCGAAGAUGGUUAGGGGUUUUGAGAGAGAGACCCCCCACAUUGGAACUGAGAGACGGUCCAGACUCCUACGGGAGGCAGCAGUAGGGAAUAUUGGGCAAUGGGCGAAAGCCUGACCCAGCCAUGCCGCGUGAAGGAAGACGGCCUUAUGGGUUGCAAACUUCUUUACUACGCGAAUAGAGGUUAGUACGAGAUACUAAUAGGAAGGUAGUGUAGUAAAAAGCACCGGCUAACUCCGUG
rnacentral:rRNA from 1 species